GGGAUUGCCUUAGUAACGGCGAGUGAAGCGGCAACAGCUCAAAUUUGAAAUCUGGCCCCUUCGGGGUCCGAAUUGUAAUUUGUAGAGAGUGCUUCGGGCGAGGCCUUGGUCUAAGUCCAUUGGAACAUGGUGUCAUAGAGGGUGAGAAUCCCGUAUGCGACCGUGGCUCGAGCCCAUGUGAAGCCUCUUCGACGAGUCGAGUUGUUUGGGAAUGCAGCUCAAAAUGGGUGGUAAAUUUCAUCUAAAGCUAAAUACUGGCUGGAGACCGAUAGCGCACAAGUAGAGUGAUCGAAAGAUGAAAAGCACUUUGGAAAGAGAGUCAAACAGUACGUGAAAUUGUUGAAAGGGAAGCGCUUGCAACCAGACCUGCCCGUAGGCGAUCAGCCGCUGUUCUCAGCGGUGCACUCGCUCUGCGAUCAGGCCAGCAUCGGUUUCGGCGGUCGGAUAAAGGCCUUGGGAAUGUAGCUCCCCUCCGGGGGAGUCUUAUAGCCCUCGGUGCAAUGCGGCCAGCCGGGACCGAGGACCGCGCUUCGGCUAGGAUGCUGGCGUAAUGGUUGUAAGCGACCCGUCUUGAAACACGGACCAAGGAGUCUAACAUCUAUGCGAGUGUUUGGGUGUCAAACCCAUGCGCGGAAUGAAAGUGAACGGAGGUGAGAACCCAGGGCGCAUCAUCGACCGAUCCAGAUGUCUUCGGAUGGAUUUGAGUAUGAGCAUAGCUGUUGGGACCCGAAAGAUGGUGAACUAUGCCUGAUAGGGUGAAGCCAGAGGAAACUCUGGUGGAGGCUCGCAGCGGUUCUGACGUGCAAAUCGAUCGUCAAAUUUGGGUAUA
rnacentral:rRNA from 1 species